rnacentral:rRNA from 1 species
GACGUAGGAGGCGAGCGUUAUCCGGAUUCACUGGGCGUAAAGCGCAUGUAGGCGGACGUGCAAGUCGUGUGUUAAAGCCCCUGGCUCAACUGGGGGAGGUCAUACGAAACUGUGCGACUAGAGGGCAGCAGAGGCACGUGGAACUCCCGGUGUAGCGGUGGAAUGCGUAGAGAUCGGGAAGAACACCAGUGGCGAAGGCGGCGUGCUGGGCUGCACCUGACGCUGAGAUGCGAAAGUGUGGGGAGCAAACGGG